rnacentral:siRNA from 1 species
AGGGUUGAGGCUAUAAGUGUC